rnacentral:rRNA from 1 species
UACAGAGGGUGCGAGCGUUAAUCGGAAUUACUGGGCGUAAAGCGCGCGUAGGCGGCUCUGCAAGCCGGAUGUGAAAUCCCCGGGCUCAACCUGGGAACUGCAUUCGGGACUGCAUUGCUAGAGUAUGGGAGAGGGAAGUGGAAUUUCAGGUGUAGCGGUGAAAUGCGUAGAUAUCGGGAGGAACACCUAUGGCGAAGGCAGCUCGCUGGGACGUUACUGACGCUGAGACGCGAAAGCGUGGGGAGCAAACAGG